rnacentral:rRNA from 1 species
GACGAACGCUGGCGGCGUGCCUAAUACAUGCAAGUCGAGCGAAUGGAUUAAGAGCUUGCUCUUAUGAAGUUAGCGGCGGACGGGUGAGUAACACGUGGGUAACCUGCCCAUAAGACUGGGAUAACUCCGGGAAACCGGGGCUAAUACCGGAUAACAUUUUGAACCGCAUGGUUCGAAAUUGAAAGGCGGCUUCGGCUGUCACUUAUGGAUGGACCCGCGUCGCAUUAGCUAGUUGGUGAGGUAACGGCUCACCAAGGCAACGAUGCGUAGCCGACCGGGGAGGGUGAUCGGCCACACUGGGACUGAGACACGGCCCGGACUCCUACGGGAGGCAGCAGUAGGGAAUCUUCCGCAAUGGACGAAAGUCUGACGGAGCAACGCCGCGUGAGUGAUGAAGGCUUUCGGGUCGUAAAACUCUGUUGUUAGGGAAGAACAAGUGCUAGUUGAAUAAGCUGGCACCUUGACGGUACCUAACCAGAAAGCCACGGCUAACUACGUGCCAGCAGCCGCCGCGG